rnacentral:rRNA from 1 species
AGAGUUUGAUCAUGGCUCAGGAUGAACGCUGGCGGCGUGCUUAACACAUGCAAGUCGAACGGUGAACGAGGGAGCUUGCUCCCUCCGGAUCAGUGGCGAACGGGUGAGUAACACGUGAGUAACCUGCCCUUGACUCUGGGAUAAGCGUUGGAAACGACGUCUAAUACCGGAUACGACCCUCGGAGGCAUCUCCAGGGGGUGGAAAGAACUUCGGUCAAGGAUGGACUCGCGGCCUAUCAGCUUGUUGGUGAGGUAACGGCUCACCAAGGCGACGACGGGUAGCCGGCCUGAGAGGGUGACCGGCCACACUGGGACUGAGACACGGCCCAGACUCCUACGGGAGGCAGCAGUGGGGAAUAUUGCACAAUGGGCGAAAGCCUGAUGCAGCAACGCCGCGUGAGGGACGACGGCCUUCGGGUUGUAAACCUCUUUUAGUAGGGAAGAAGCGAAAGUGACGGUACCUGCAGAAAAAGCACCGGCUAACUACGUGCCAGCAGCCGCGGUAAUAC